rnacentral:rRNA from 1 species
GAUGAACGCUGGCGGCGUGCCUAAUACAUGCAAGUCGAGCGAACAGACGAGGAGCUUGCUCCUCUGACGUUAGCGGCGGACGGGUGAGUAACACGUGGAUAACCUACCUAUAAGACUGGGAUAACUUCGGGAAACCGGAGCUAAUACCGGAUAAUAUAUUGAACCGCAUGGUUCAAUAGUGAAAGACGGUUUUGCUGUCACUUAUAGAUGGAUCCGCGCCGCAUUAGCUAGUUGGUAAGGUAACGGCUUACCAAGGCAACGAUGCGUAGCCGACCUGAGAGGGUGAUCGGCCACACUGGAACUGAAACACGGUCCAGACUCCUACGGGAGGCAGCAGUAGGGAAUCUUCCGCAAUGGGCGAAAGCUUGGCGGAGCAACGCCGCGUGAGUGAUGAAGGUCUUCGGAUCGUAAAACUCUGUUAUUAGGGAAGAACAAAUGUGUAAGUAACUAUGCACGUCUUGACGGUACCUAAUCAGAAAGCCACGGCUAACUACGUG